AUCCAGCCGACGAGUACCGAAUAGGACGAAACGCGCGUCCUAGAU
rnacentral:hammerhead_ribozyme from 1 species